UUUUUUCUUCGAGAAAGCCACAUCAUAUUGUUCUAAAACAUGGAAAGUGUUAAUCCUACAAUACCAUUAAUUUUACCUUUCAUUUUUUUAUUCCUUCUUUGUGCUUUCAGCAUGCCAAACCAGCACACUCCACAGUCAAACACAACUAGACAUGUUCUAAAACACCUGAAGUAUCUUGAGUGCCCAAAAUGUGUCAAUCAUCAUGGACAAAACUAUUCUUGACACUACAUCUACCAAAAACAUGAGUUUGUCUGAGAUGAGGAAGACUAAUUCUAAAAGAUGGUUUCAUAGAGGCAAUUUGAGGGGUUCUUGCUCCAGUGCAUGCUUGAGAUUUCAAUCAUCCAUUUUCCUUCCUCCGCACCAUGGCAUAUAAGAGCAUGGGCAUGACUGUAGCACAAAGCCACUAACUAAUGAAGUAUUAGAUAGUAUAAUCAGAA
rnacentral:lncRNA from 1 species